AGUGAACGCUGGCGGUAGGCCUAACACAUGCAAGUCGAACGGCAGCACAGUAAGAGCUUGCUCUUACGGGUGGCGAGUGGCGGACGGGUGAGGAAUACAUCGGAAUCUACUUUUUCGUGGGGGAUAACGUAGGGAAACUUACGCUAAUACCGCAUACGACCUACGGGGUGAAGCAGGGGGAUUUUCGGCCCUGGCGCGAUUCAAGGAGCCGAUGGCGGAUUGGCUAGUUGGCGGGGUAAAGGCCCACCAAGGGGGGGAUCCGUGCCUGGUCUGAGAGGAGGAUCAGCCACACUGGAACUGAGACACGGUCCAGACUCCUACGGGAGGCAGCAGUGGGGAAUAGUGGACAAUGGGCGCAAGCCUGAUCCAGCCAUACCGCGUGGGUGAAGAAGGCCUUCGGGUUGUAAAGCCCUUUUGUUGGGAAAGAAAAGCAGCAGGUUAAUACCCCGCUGUUCUGACGGUACCCAAAGAAUAAGCACCGGCUAACUUCGUG
rnacentral:rRNA from 1 species